CUUUGUCCUCUGCCGCUCAGUAUCCAUGUUACUCCAACAAAACUGCUACUCUUCAUGCAAGCUGAUUAGUGAGGCACUGGUAUUUGCUUCCUCCCUGAAUUUCCUGUUUUCCUGGAUGUGAGAUCUCUGAAGUGCAUCUUUAGAAAAUAUUCACUCAUCAAAGUCUGCUAGAAAAGGACAAUUUGCAGAGGGCUGGUUCCUACUGCUUGCUAAAAUGAUAAGCCAUGUUCCAACCUAUUUCAUCUACAUAGACUGAAGUUCAGUUCCAUUCCCUUCACUUUCAGGCACCUCUUACAUAGCAGGAGGUAUUCAGCCACUGCCAAAGUCAAUAUAUUAAGUGGAGUUGUUGAAGGCAGCUGGUUUCCCAUACAACCAUAUGUCCCCAUUUCCUAUUGUAGCCAGUUUCUGAUUCAGUGGUAGGAAAUGCCAAGAGCGUUGGCAGCAAUGGUCUUUUCCACUUAUAAUAGAAUUUCUUUGAUGUACUUUCCAUUUUUCUCAGGGUGUUUCUGUUGUGUAAUCAGAUCAGGCUGGCUCUACAUCAAGGUACUCAUUGGGAUGAGAACUCCGAGAGGCAUCACUGAAGUAGACUACAAAGAGGCUGGACUGUCCACGACCCCAGACGUGCCAAAUGCAGCCAAAUUAAACAUGGCGGCGAAUCUCGAGCAGCAAAACGGCGACGACGCCGUUUAAGUCAUGCCUGAGAUGGAGCGACGCGGCGCGGCCAGGAGGGGCAAAUCUCGCGAUAUCGCGACCGCCGUGCUCCCUCCGGAAGCCCCGUCGGAGUCUGGUGAGAGCCAGCGCAGGCGUCGUCCUGCCGUCGCGUGCGUAAGCAGGG
rnacentral:lncRNA from 1 species